rnacentral:lncRNA from 1 species
GUGGAAGACAAAACAUCAGAGAAUUAUACACAGCUUUAUGAUUAUGUGAUACAGAUUAAUAAAGAGGCACUUAUAGAUGAGUCGGAUUUCAAAGAAACAAUUGUGAAAGGCAUUAGACACACUGGAGGAAGUACAUAUAUUUCCAGGAGUGGAAGUGCACUGGAGGUGGACUUUAUAAAUAUGUUUUCAACAACAUUCGAAAAAGGACCAGACGUCGUGGACACAAAAAUUAUAAAUUACCUUAAGGAAGCACAAUUGCCAAAUAUUAUAUUUCGCAGUAAGUAAUCAAAUGGUUAAAUGUGUUGUUAUGCUGAGGGUUAAGUUU